AAUUCGAUUAGUUUGAUCCUGGCUCAGGAUGAACGCUGGCGGCGUGCUUAACACAUGCAAGUCACGGGGGCCCAGCAAUGGGUAACCGGCGAACGGGUGCGUAACACGUGAGCAACCUACCGAAAUGAGGGGGAUAGCCUGCCUAACGGCUGGGUAAUACCGCAUACGCUCGAGGAGAGGCAUUUCAUCUCGAGGAAACCUCCGGGGCAUUUCGAGGGGCUCGCGGCCUAUCAGCUAGUUGGUGAGGUAACGGCUCACCAAGGCGACGACGGGUAGCUGGUCUGAGAGGAUGGCCAGCCACAUUGGGACUGAGAUACGGCCCAGACUCCUACGGGAGGCAGCAGUGGGGAAUCUUGCGCAAUGGCCUAACGGCUGACGCAGCGACGCCGCGUGAGGGAUGACGCUCUUCGGAGUGUAAACCUCUUUUGCCUGAGACGAAUUGUCAGCUUUAGCUGAUUUGACUGUAUCGGGUGAAUAAGCACCGGCUAACUCCGUGCCAGCAGCCGCGGUAAUACGGGGGGUGCGAGCGUUGUCCGGAAUCACUGGGCGUAAAGGGCGCGUAGGUGGCCUGAUAAGGGUGUGGUGAAAGUCCGGGGCUCAACCCCGGAUCUGCCGUGCCGACUGUCAGGCUGGAGUACUGUAGGGGCAGGCGGAAUUCCGGGUGUAGCGGUGGAAUGCGUAGAGAUCCGGAGGAAGACCGGUGGCGAAGGCGGCCUGCUGGGCAGUUACUGACACUGAGGCGCGACAGCGUGGGGAGCAAACAGGAUUAGAUACCC
rnacentral:rRNA from 1 species